CAGUAGCCACGGUAAUACAAAGGGUGCGAGCGUUAAUCGGAUUUACUGGGCGUAAAGCGUGCGUAGGCGGCUUCUUAAGUCGGAUGUGAAAUCCCUGAGCUUAACUUAGGAAUUGCAUUCGAUACUGGGAAGCUAGAGUAUGGGAGAGGAUGGUAGAAUUCCAGGUGUAGCGGUGAAAUGCGUAGAGAUCUGGAGGAAUACCGAUGGCGAAGGCAGCCAUCUGGCAUAAUACUGACGCUGAGGUACGAAAGCAUGGGGAGCAAACAGGAUUAGAUACCCCGGUAGUCCCUGUCUCUUAUAC
rnacentral:rRNA from 1 species